rnacentral:rRNA from 1 species
UACGAAUGGUGCAAGCGUUAUCCGGAUUUACUGGUGUAAAGGGUGCGUAGGUGGUGAGGCAAGUCAGAAGUGAAAACUGCGGGCUCAACCCGGAGACUGCUUUUGAAACUGUCUUACUAGAGUGCAGGAGAGGAAAGUGGAAUUCCUAGUGUAGCGGUGGAAUGCGUAGAUAUUAGGAGGAACACCAGUGGCGAAGGCGACUUUCUGGACUGUAACUGACACUGAGGCACGAAAGCGUGGGGAGCAAACA